rnacentral:rRNA from 1 species
CAUUAAAGAGUUCUAAAACUCCCAAACCCAUGUGAACAUACCUAACGUUGCCUCGGCAGGUCGCACCUACCUUGUAGCACCCUACCCUGUAGGGCCUACCCGGGAGGUGCGGGUAAGCCUGCCGGCGGCCCACCAAACUCUGUUUUAUAUUGAAUUCUGAACAUAUAACUAAAUAAGUUAAAACUUUCAACAACGGAUCUCUUGGUUCUGGCAUCGAUGAAGAACGCAGCGAAAUGCGAUAAGUAAUGUGAAUUGCAGAAUUCAGUGAAUCAUCGAAUCUUUGAACGCAUAUUGCGCCCAUUAGUAUUCUAGUGGGCAGGACCGUUCGAGCGUCAUUUCGACCCUUAAGCCUUAGUUGCUUAGUGUUGGGAGCCUACGGAAACGUAGCUCCUCAAAGUUAGUGGCGGAGUUGGUUCACACUCUAGACGUAGUAAUUUUUUAUCUCGCCUAUUAGUUGGACUGAUCCCCUGCCGUAAAACCCCCAACUUAUCAAGGUUGACCUCGAAUCGGUUCAGACAAACUCGCUAAAUUGAAGCAUCUUAGUCAGCGAAGGAAAAGAAACCAACAGGGAUUGCCCUAGUAACGGCGAGUGAAGCGGCAACAGCUCAAAUUUGAAAUCUGGCCCUCGGGUCCGAGUUGUAAUUUGUAGAGGAUGCUUUUGGCGCGGUGCCUUCCGAGUUCCCUGGAACGGGACGCCUUAGAGGGUGAGAGCCCCGUACGGUUGGACACCAAGCCUCUGUAAAGCUCCUUCGACGAGUCGAGUAGCU